rnacentral:rRNA from 1 species
GACGAACGCUGGCGGCGUGCCUAACACAUGCAAGUCGAGCGGGGUUGAAGCGAGGGGUAACUCGAGUUUCUACCUAGCGGCGGACGGGUGAGUAACGCGUGGGCAACCUGCCUCAAGGACUGGGAUAACAGCUCGAAAGGGCUGCUAAUACCGGAUAAGCCUAUGGCCUCGCAUGGGGCCAUGAGCAAAGGGGAAACCCGCCUUGAGAUGGGCCCGCGUCCCAUCAGCUAGUUGGUGAGGUGAAGGCUCACCAAGGCGACGACGGGUAGCCGGCCUGAGAGGGUGACCGGCCACACUGGGACUGAGACACGGCCCAGACUCCUACGGGGGCAGCAGUGGGGAAUCUUGCACAAUGGGCGAAAGCCUGAUGCAGCGACGCCGCGUGAGCGAAGAAGGCCUCGGUUGUAAGACUCUGUCUGGAGGGACGAAGGAAGUGACGGUACUCCGGAGGAGCCACGGCUAACUACGUGCCAGCAGCCGCGGUAACUACGUAGCGUG